rnacentral:rRNA from 1 species
GAUGAACGCUGGCGGCGUGCCUAAUACAUGCAAGUCGAGCGAACAGAUGAGGAGCUUGCUCCUCUGACGUUAGCGGCGGACGGGUGAGUAACACGUGGAUAACCUACCUAUAAGACUGGGAUAACUUCGGGAAACCGGAGCUAAUACCGGAUAAUAUAUUGAACCGCAUGGUUCAAUAGUGAAAGACGGUUUCGCUGUCACUUAUAGGUGGAUCCGCGCCGCAUUAGCUAGUUGGUAAGGUAACGGCUUACCAAGGCAACGAUGCGUAGCCGACCUGAGAGGGUGAUCGGCCACACUGGAACUGAGACACGGUCCAGACUCCUACGGGAGGCAGCAGUAGGGAAUCUUCCGCAAUGGGCGAAAGCCUGACGGAGCAACGCCGCGUGAGUGAUGAAGGUCUUCGGAUCGUAAAACUCUGUUAUUAGGGAAGAACAAAUGUGUAAGUAACUAUGCACGUCUUGACGGUACCUAAUCAGAAAGCCACGGCUAACUACGUG